rnacentral:rRNA from 1 species
CUACGGGGGGCACCAGUGGGGAAUCUUGCGCAAUGGGCGAAAGCCUGACGCAGCAACGCCGCGUGAGCGAAGAAGGCCUUCGGGUUGUAAAGCUCUGUCAGGGGGAAAGAAGGCACCUGGGUUAAUAGCCCAAGGGCUGACGGUACCCCCAAAGGAAGCCACGGCUAACUACGUGCCAGCAGCCGCGGUAAUACGUAGGUGGCAAGCGUUGUCCGGAAUCAUUGGGCGUAAAGCGCGCGUAGGUGGUUUGUCAGGUCCGAUGUGAAAUCCUGGGGCUCAACUCCAGGCGUGCAUUGGAAACCGGCUUACUAGAGUCUGGGAGAGGAGAGUGGAAUUCCUGGUGUAGCGGUGAAAUGCGUAGAUAUCAGGAGGAACACCAGUAGCGAAGGCGGCUCUCUGGAACAGUACUGACGCUGAGGCGCGAAAGCUAGGGGAGCGAACAGGAUUAGAUACCCUAGUAGUC